UAAUAUGAUGAUAAACAUUCAGACCUGUUCUGAUCUUCGGAUCUGAGGACAAACAACAUUGCCUAUAUAUCUGACA
rfam:Sistotremastrum niveocremeum HHB9708 unplaced genomic scaffold SISNIscaffold_1, whole genome shotgun sequence.